CCUACGGGUGGCAGCAGUGAGGAAUAUUGGUCAAUGGGCGCGAGCCUGAACCAGCCAAGUAGCGUGAAGGAUGACUGCCCUACGGGUUGUAAACUUCUUUUAUAAAGGAAUAAAGUGAGGCACGUGUGCCUUUUUGUAGGUACUUUAUGAAUAAGGAUCGGCUAAACCCGUGCCAGCAGCCGCGGUAAUACGGAGGAUCCGAGCGUUAUCCGGAUUUAAUGGGUUUAAAGGGAGCGUAGAUGGGUUGUUAAGUCCGUUGUGAAAGUUUGCGGCUCAACCCUAGAAUUGCAAUUGAUACUGGCAGUCUUGAGUAGAGUUGAGGUAGGCGGAAUUCGUGGUGUAGCGGUGAAAUGCUUAGAUAUCACGAAGAACUCCGAUUGCGAAGGCAGCUUACUAAACUGCCACUGACAUUGAUGCACGAAAGUGUGGGUAUCAAACAGGAUUAGAUACCCCAGUAGUC
rnacentral:rRNA from 1 species